UACAGAGGUGGCAAGCGUUGUUCGGAAUUACUGGGCGUAAAGGGCGCGUAGGCGGCCUUGUAAGUCUCGUGUGAAAGCCCUCGGCUUAACUGAGGAUCUGCACGGGAUACUGCGAGGCUAGAGUCCGGAAGAGGAGAAUGGAAUUCCUGGUGUAGCGGUGAAAUGCGCAGAUAUCAGGAAGAACACCCGUGGCGAAGGCGGUUCUCUGGGACGGUACUGACGCUGAGACGCGAAAGCGUGGGGAGCGAACAGG
rnacentral:rRNA from 1 species